GCCUACGGGGGGCAGCAGUGGGGAAUAUUGGACAAUGGGGGGAACCCUGAUCCAGCGACGCCGCGUGAGUGAAGAAGUAUUUCGGUAUGUAAAGCUCUAUCAGCAGGGAAGAAAGAAAUGACGGUACCUGACUAAGAAGCCCCGGCUAACUACGUGCCAGCAGCCGCGGUAAUACGUAGGGGGCAAGCGUUAUCCGGAUUUACUGGGUGUAAAGGGAGCGUAGACGGUUACGCAAGUCUGAAGUGAAAGCCCGUGGCUCAACCGCGGAACUGCUUUGGAAACUGUAUAGCUUGAGUACUGGAGAG
rnacentral:rRNA from 1 species